CGCGUAGGUGGGUUAGUAAGUCAGACGUGAAAGCCCGGAGCUCAACUCCGGAACUGCAUUUGAAACUACUAACCUUGAGGGUAGGCGGAGAAGACGGAAUUCCACGUGUAGCGGUGAAAUGCGUAGAUAUGUGGAAGAACACCGGUGGCGAAGGCGGUCUUCUAGCUUAUUCCUGACACUGAGGCGCGAAAGCAAGGGGAGCAAACAGGAUUAGAUACCCUGGUAGUCC
rnacentral:rRNA from 1 species